UUCAAAUCAAAAUACCCGACUUCCUGUUGGUCGUAGCUGAUGACUGUGAAUUAGAAAGUUGUCCGUCUUGAUAAGAACAAUAUAUGUACCGAGUUUGGUGUCUGUAGCUAAAACUAACCCCCCCACUUUUGACAAAAGGUGGCGCUAUAGAGUGCCUCUUCCAUGCCCCUUCAUGAGCUUUUUCCAUUAUCUAUCUAUCAUUUAUACUGAUAUGUGUUUUGAGUUUUAUGUAAUUCUGAGCAUGUUAUCUGCCUCAAAAUCCCCAGAACAGAAUAUUCAAGUUUGACACAUUGCCAUGGCAACACUAUGUUAGAUAUCAAUAUCCCCACAACAGUUUUACAUCGGCCGUGUUUUGUCAUUAUUCUGAUGAAGUUUGAAGCAAAUCGAGUAAAAAUAAGAUGCUGAAUUCAAAGCAUAAUGAAAAUGACACACUUCCUGCUGCCAGUUGGUGGCGCUAUAACUUUGACUCCUAAUAGUUACAUAUAUGAGAUCGGCAUCAUACAACGAACAAACCGAUGAAGUUUGAUCAAAAUCAAGGAAUGUAUGUGGAUGUUAUUAGACACUUCCUGUUUCUCAUUUCUCACCAUAAUUUCAACGCCUCGCCACGGGCAAACCGUUCGAGAUAUCAAAAAUAUCUUCGCAAUUUAGCAUCCCCAAUGUCUUGAGAUCAUGUUCACCGAGUUUUGUGGCGAACAGGUGGAGUUCCUCAGAGGAGUAUAUCAAAUUCCAGAGCAUGUGUUUUUCACAAAACCCUAAAUAGCCAACUUCCUGUUGGGCGGAGCUUAUGACAUGCAGUACGAAAGUUGUUUGGUUUGAUGAGAUCUACAUGUGUACCGAUUUUUGUGGCAAACGGGUGGAGUUCUUCAGAGGAGUAUAUCAAAUUCCAGAGCAUGUGUUUUUCACAAAACCCUAAAUAGCCAACUUCCUGUUGGGCGGAGCUUAUGACAUGCAGUGCGAAAGUUGUUUGGUUUGAUGAGAUCUACAUGUGUACCGAGUUUCAUAUGUAUACGUGCAAGUAUGCAUGAUAUAUGGCCCUCAAUAUUCCAGGGGGCGCUGUAGAGCCCCUGUGCCACGCCCGUGUAUCAGUCUCUGCCCGGCCCUAAUGGCCGCAGAUUCCAAGGUGUGUGCCAAUUUUCAAGAGUUUUUGAGCAUGUUAAGGGCCCC
ensembl:lncRNA